rnacentral:tRNA from 1 species
GAAACAGUGCCAGAGUGGUUAAUGGGUUAGACUCGAAUUCUUCAUUCAGUCAUCUAAUGGCUUCGGCCGCGCAAGUUCGAGUCUUGUCUGUUUCG